rnacentral:lncRNA from 1 species
CCAAGGAUUGGUAGUACAAAUUAUGAGCUUCUAAGAUUUAAAGUUUACAAAGCUGAUAUGAAAUAAAUACAUCAUCUGUUUGAAAUAUACAUGAACAAAUUAAUAAUUCUAAAGCUACCAAGAACAAGAGGCAGUUGUGACCGAAAUGCAGGUACAUCUUCAAUUCUUGCUUCAACCAUACACAAUAACAUCAACAUCCAAAAUCUGCACGCAAGGUGUAGAAGUGUAGUAUGAGUACAACCGACCCCAUGUACUCAAUAAGUAACAAACCUAACCUUAGGUUGAAAGCAGUGACGAUCUUGAACAACAGUCAGAGUCCAACACCAAUAGCCAACAUCAACUCAUAACUAUAUAAUAAAGUAGUACAAGAAACAACUCAAAUAUAUGAUGCUCAGCUCGUUCACAAUUAUGAAAAAAUAGGCAUGCUUUUCAAGUUUAACAGUAAAACCUAAUCUUUCACUGAAAUCCCCAAAAUAUGAGUAUAUGAGAAAACUGUGAUUUUUUCCCCCAAAAACAUUCAACAACAAAUAAAAAUAUUUCAAUCUCUUAGGGCAUAGGGAAAGUACAUCUUUAUGCCUAAAUAUCAAUGUGCACGUGAAGUCAUGAAUGUCACAAUACUGUGUAGCAUGAGAAAAUGCAUCUCUAUGGCUGUAUGUCAAAUAUACAUGACAAUGCAAUGCAUCACAGUGAUGAAAUCAUGUACUCACACUCUCGGAGUACUCAAUCUCACUGUCUUGCACUCAAUCACUCAUCACUGUACGGUGCCAGCUACGGCGCGCAGCCCGAUCCCAUCAAUAAUAAUAAAGCCUAUAAGACCUGUUGUGGCAUGCAUAUCGAUACACAUAUAGCUAUAAGGCCUGUUGCGGCGUGCAACCGAAUCCACAUAUAUCCAUAAGGCAUGUUGCGGCGUGCAACCGAAUCCACAUAUAGCCAUAAGGCAUGUUGCGGCGUGCAACCCGAUCCACAUAUAGCCAUAUGAAUAAAUAAUAUCCGUUGUGGCAUACAACCCGAUCCCAUCAUGAAUCAAUAGCACUUGCUGCGGCGUGUAGCCCGAUCCCAUCAAUAUCACUCACAAUCUGGCCCUCAGCAUCAACUUAGUCAUCAAUCUCUCUAGUCUCUCGGGCUCAUAAAUCUCAUGCCAAUCAGUCCAAACAAUGAUAACAUGAUGUGACAACGAUGAUAAUUGAGACUAAGAUAUGAUAUGAAAAUUAAUGAAUAUGACUGAGUAUGUAAUUACAAUUUAUGUAAAUAACUUAAUAGCAAAAAUAACCUCAAUUGAUCCCAACAGAAUAUGUACAUAGCCUAAACAUGAUUUCUAACAUGGAUCACAGCUUAAUUAUUCUAGCACGUAGGAAUUUCAUGGAUAAAAACAAGAUAGAAUACUACACGGUACCACAGAAUCAUCCGAGUCAUAAUUCACAUGGUGCACACCCACACGCUCGUCGCCUAGCAUGUGCGUCACCUCAAUACUAAACACAUAACACGUAUAUUAAGGGGUUCAUACCCUUAUCACCAAGUUUAAAAGUGUUACUUACCUCAAACGAGUUGAAUCCAAUACCAAGCAAGUCAAACGAUACUCUAGAACAUCAAAUAAUGUCAAAGGAAACAAACCCAAUCGAUAAAAGUUGAAUCUUUAAUUAAAAGCUCAAAGUCAACCAAAAAUUCAAACACGACCCCACACCUCGGAACCUGACAAAAGUCACAAAAUCCAACAACCCAUUCAAUUAUGAUUCCAACUAUACUAGUUUCACUCAAAUCCAACUCUGAAUCGAUGUUCAAAAUCCAAUUAUUCACUUUAGAAACGUUUUGACAAACCUUAUUUCCUAUUGUUAAAUCCUACAUUUUGAUGUUAAAUCUAGUGAUGGAUUCAUGUAAAUCUCAUAGAUAUAUGUUACAAUCACUUACCCCAAGCUUGUAGAUGAAAGUCUAGGUUGAAACCUUUCAAACCCGAGCUCCCAGGGUACCUAUUUAAUUAUUAAGUUAUGUUCAUUACAGGUCUACAAACUGGUGAGAUUAUGGGUAAGGGUUAUUGUUCUUCUAAGGAGAAGGUGCUAGGCACCCCUUAAAAUCUACCUGAGGUAGCUCCAUAGGACUUAGACAAAUUUUAAGGACUUAGUUAUUUAUACUAUGCUUUAAUUAUUACUAAGGCAGGGCUCGCUAUAUGCUAAAGGAAAUGAAUGUGUAAGAAUAAGAAGGGUAUUGAAUUAUAAAAGAGUUAUUGGAGGCUAAGAGAGUUUUGAAAGUGGUUUAUAUUUUAAAGCUUGAAUUAUUAAGUUAAGAAAAUUUAUUAUAUUUGAAGAAUAUAUGAUAGAGUAAUCUUUGUUUGUAAGAAAGAUAAUUUUUUAAUGUACCUUGGUUAUCAAAAAAAUCUGAAGAAGCGAGUCUUUGAAAAUUCAUUUGAGACGGUCUGUUACUGCCCUUUUUUUGAAAAAUCCGACUUUGUUCCUUAUUGGUGAGAACAAGUGACUCUUUCUUAAUUUCCUUUAAAGAAACAAGUUGUUCUAAUUAAAAACCUGAGCUUCAAAACCUAGUGAGUGUAUAAGAUGAACAUGUUGAAAUAAACAGGAGGAGAAGAUCAAUUACUAGUUAUUUUCUUUUAAAUCCUAUAUUAAUUAAUAUUUGCCUAUGUUUUACGUGAUACUAGAGCAUAAAAGAAAAAUACAUAAUCUAUCAUAUGAGUGUUAAUACAUGAUAAUGAAGAUGCAAUAAGACAUCGAAGGCAGUAAGUGAAAAUAAUUAAGGCAGUAAACUAAGCUAGGAAAUAAUGGGCAGUAAUGCAAGGAGUAAGGGAGAAUACUGAACUAUGAAGAUUGGGCCUCAACAAGGUAGGCCCAGCAAUCUGAGAGGUGCGGCUAUGGCAAGAGUGGACUUUCCAAAGAUGCAGCAAGGCUGGUUUGGGCCUAAAUUCCUUAGGAAUUCAGCAGGCCCAAAUCUGUACAUGUCAAAAAGAAAUAAAGAAGGUCAUUAGAAAUGUACUCCAUGUUCUCAGCAUACUCUAAUGCACAUAACAUGUCACAUUCUAAUAUACAUGACAUGUAUACAAACAGAUAAUUGAAACAAUGAAAUGAUUAAGGGACUCAAGGCCUAGAGCAAUGCCUGUGCCAGGGAGGGCAGCCCAACCUAAAGUUGAACUCCGCUCCCAAAUACCCUUAAACACUAACGACAUAUUUUUCUUAUGGGUUUGAGUGCCAAUGAGGCCAUACCAAUGUAAAUUAAACGCUAAAGUAUUACCUAUCACAAAAUAUAUACCUUCCCUUCUAUCAUAAGAACAUACAAACUAUACUGGAUGAGCAAACAAAUACAUGUAUCACAUGAAAGAAAACAUCUAAUUCUGAAACUCAUAAAGGUGUACAUUGGAAACAUCACAAACAUGUUACAAUAGUCCAAAUUUAGAGUAAGGCAAUACUCCAAAGAAAGGUAAAUCUAUACAACAACAACUCAACAUAUAUAGAGGUUCUUUGUGCAUGCUGAACAUAGUGAACUGGCUGACUUUUUCCAGCAUAUUCAUAGGUUGGCUUUAAUAUUUUUAAUGAUAAUCAAUAAUAUAAAUUCAGGUAAUACACUCAUGACUAGUCAUUUUUAGUGGUUGUUGAAGAAAUCUAGGACAUGAUCGAAACUUUCAACAGAUAUAUAGUUUACAGAUCACAACAGGGAGUUCCUUAGGAUUUAUACAAAUCAUACUCCUAAUAAAUCAUCAAGUUCAAAUAACAUUGGCCUGGAUCCUUAUGAGACUUUAGGGAUUAAACUAGGUUCAAAGUUAUCAUAGAGAAAAAGUUAGGGCAGUUCUGGACAUGAUAUAUAAUCAUGAACUAAACAAGAAACAUGCAAUAUUCAGUCAGAUACUUAAAUAUUUCAAAUGCUGUGAUGAUUCUUAUGUAAACAGGGGAAACAUUUCAUAUUUUAGAGUGAGUUAAACAAAAGGUUACAGAUAAGGGAAAAGACAUUGCAUCAAUACAGGUUUAACUUAAAGAUUAGUUCUAAAUCAGUACAUGAAUAAAAGGUUGAUCAUACUUCUUUUUUACAAGUUACUACUUAACUAGGGCAGAGUAGUCAGGUUCUUUAAAAGAAAAAGAUGCAUGAUAACCCUAAAGAUGAGAGAUAGGAGAUAUCAAAUAAACAUGUUGCUGAGGGUGUUGACUAAUUAAGAAAAAGUUAAGUUUAACUCAUCAAAUUAGCAGUCUUUAUACCUGACAGAAAGAACAAAAUCCUAAUCACAUUAUGAAAAAAUUACAUAGCUUUAACAGAUGUGUAUAAUAGGAAUACAGAGAGAAGAAAUGGAUUUGGUUCAAACAAGAUCAUGUUAAUAGAAGCAAUAGGUAAAGUAAACCAAAUGAAGGGACAUAGCAGUAACUUAGAAGCAACCUAAUAGACAUGAGUAGAGAAGAAAACAUUUAAACACUUAAAGUUCAUGCUUAAGGUUAAAAGAUAGGGUUAAACAACAUUAGAUUCAUCUUAUUUAUAAUUAUCAGGUAAUAAACUCAAUUUCAAAGCUCACAAAACUACAGAGAUGCAAUAGGACAAAGAUAAGCUUACUGCAUGUCAAUGAAAUCUAUGAAGUUCAUGUUGAACACGAGCAUAUAAUAACUUAGGCAUGGAGAGUGUUGGAAACUCAGAACAAAGAUCAGCAGGGAUCAAUUAUGGUUUAAUGAACCAUCACUUAAAGACUCAUAGCAGAACAACUAAUCACAAGGAGUCAUUAAACUAACAGAGCAUAAGUAUUAGCAUAUUAAAUACCAUAGAACAAUUGAAAUAUACAGAACCUAUCUUGGCAUAUUUAUAUGAUUCAGAGAAACAGACAAAAGAGAAAAGUGAGAGAGGUGCUGACCUUUUUGAGAGCAGAAGACCAAACGGGAACUCUUUUCAGUUGCUUAAGAUCGUAGAACCCUUAAGUUUAGACCAGCAAUAGAACUCAGCAAAAGAAAAGAAAAGCAGUAAGAAACCUAAGGCUUGGAACCCUAAAGCUCUCAGUGUUUGUGUGUGUUUCUCUUAGAUAGUUGGAUCGUGAUUUUCUCUUGUUAGGUCGUGGUAGAUGAGAACAUGAAAGGCUUCUAUUUAUUGUGCCAUUAAAGCUCUAGGGUUCAGAGAAUUAAAAUCGAAUAGUGGAGAGUAACUCAUGGUAAUGAUGAUUGCAAAUCGAAUAAAAAUCAGAAUAUAGAGGAGAAAUUUAGUAUUGAAUUUAUCUGAAUGAAAAGAGAUUGAUCGCUGAAGGAAAAGGACCAUCAGUUAUACUUAAACCUAGAGGUCACUGCGUUUGACCUCUAGGUCAAGAAUCCUAAUGAUGAACCCUUUGAAAAUAUUCAUGCAUGCUCUGAUUGGACGGAGCGAGAGAGGAUUUAGAUGAUUUGAAGUUACAUCUUGAAGCUAGGGUUUUCAGACUCGAAGGGUUUUGAAUUUUGUGAUUAAAAAGGAAUUUUUAGUAGGAUUCACCAAGCUCAGGAGAAAAAGGGUGAUUUUAGGCUUUGAUUUGAAAGAUCAUAACAAAGGUUAGUCGAUUUGAGCUUUCACCUUUGAGCCUAGGGUUUCAGAAUUGGUGCGUUCUGAAUUUGUGAAUGAAAAAGGGAAUGUUAAGUGAGAAUCGUGGUCUAGCAGGGUCAGGGAUAUGAUUUACAGGGAUUUCGAGUGACUUUGCACAAAUUUGUGCAAGGUCUUUGGAGAUUGAUAGCUAAUGGAAACGAGAGAAAAGUGAGGGGAAAGGGAAAGAGGG